UUCUACACCGGCAGAAGAAGCUACUGCUGUUAAAAGACCUGGAAUGGAACUACGGAGACGGGUACAAUGCCUCUGCCUGCCUUCCCCUGCCGUAGGAUUGGUCGGUUGCCAACCUCUCCUCGUCCAACUCCGUCUCUCCUGGAUCGCUUGUCACCAGGUAUCCCAGCCCCCACUGGGUUUUCUCUUGCCACCACGUUUCCGUAAUGCCUGUAGCACCGAGCUCCGUCCAUCGCCAGGCGUCUCGUCCACCGCAGUUUGGCUGCGAGCUUCUCCCAUGAGGACCCAGACAUUUAUCGCUUUGAUUCUUGGCCAGGUUUAGCAUUGAUGCAAUUUUAUUUGACUCCUUAAUCCAACUCCUGGGCCGGGCACAUGCUUCCUUGGUUAUGUAGGCUGAGCUGUACCCCCUGCUCGCUCUGAAGUGAGGGACCCAGCUGGGGGGCGGAGGGGCCCAGCUGGAGGGAUGGUCAUAGUGGGGGGUAAGGGGUCCAGUUGGGUGUACAGCUCGGCCAUAGCAAUGAAGCGUGUGACCCCUGUGUGUAGACAGCAGCAGAGAGUCACCGCCUAGGCCCCCACUGUGGGCUAGGCCCUGAACAGCAGAGAAACAUCCCUGCCCCAAACAGCUUUCUAAGUGACUCUCUUGCGUGGCCUCAGCCCCUUCCUGCUCCAGGCCAGCUGUGCUUUGCUCCCUACCCGGGACUGGGCACUCGGAGACGGCUGGCUGUGUUACUGCCGUCUUUAGCCACCGCCUCUGCCCGACUCAGGUGCUGCCACGCCGGCCGCCCGCCCCCAGCUCUUCCAUCAAACGCGCCCCUGACACAUGCCAGCUGCCUGGCUCCACUUUGCUUCAUGGGGGUCCCUUCCCCCUCCCCAUGGACUGCCCCUGCCCCAAAAUGUUCCCUGGAGCCCAAUGAACAGAACCCUCCUCACCUGUUUUCCCAGCGUGCAGUGGGACCUGGCAGCCCCCCUCCCUGGCUGCACCUGCCGGCCGCCUGAGGCAGCUCCCCCAGCAUGAACCCAGGUCGGCUCUUGGCUGCUCAUCUCUUUACCCGUGAGGAUCUGCCAGGGGGGUUGUGCUGGUUGACAGGCCCUUGGAGGAUCCAGCCAAUGUGGCAGGGUCCUGCUCUUCCUCCAGGGCAGGCCCCACAGCCUCUGGGCUCCAGCCUGCCUGCUUGGCACUGUGAGCUCUACCUCCGUUCGCUGUCCCUGCGCAGAGGUGGGGUGGGGGACCCUUCCGGUGGCUGGGUGUGAAUGUUCUCGGAUGCUGAUACGGGGUCGCUUUCAGCAGGUUCCAACCAGCUCCUUAACGACCCAUCCAUUGCGCCCCAGACCGCCAGGCAACCCCCACACCUCACGUCUCCUGCGCCGGCCCAAAGCAGACUUACCCCUUCUCCCCGCACUGGGGAGCAGUGCAAAGCCUAGCAGGAAACUGAGGCACACAUGGGAUCCAUAAAAAUAUGACCAAAAAUUCCCUCUUCAUCCUAGGAGCAUUAGUCCCAUUCUGCAGACAGGGAAUCUGAAGCUCGGAGAAGGGAAAUGACUCCCCCCAAGCUGGGAAUCAAUCUCUGGAUCCAAGUCUGGUGCUCUAGGCAUUACUGACACUGCCUCCCUAUACAGUGGGGGGUUAGUGCUAAUGUGUUUUGAGAGAUUUGGGCCCAGCUCCCCCAGAGCACCUCCUGCUCCCGCCGAGUCAGACCUGAAAACCAGGCACCAUGGAGGGGUGGGACUGGAAUUUCCCAGCACCCUCUGGGGCAUCUCUCCAACUCCAUAUGCCAGCCUCCCAGGUGCUACAGAACUCUGGACAGAGAGGCCCUCUGGGUGCCCCUGGUGCUGUUACCGGGCCUGGCUGGCAUUGCCACUGUUGCCACAGGCCACCUCUUCCCAUCCAGUAGCCAAGAAAGCAGCUGCGGCCGGGUGCGUGUGUAAGUCAUUCUUCAGGAGCAGAGCUGGCCAGAACUCGGGGGAUGGCUCCCGAGACUUUUUGGUCUCCCAGAUGUGAUCUGAGCCAGAACAGAAGCAAAUUUACCAACUUUCUUGGCCAGCCGACGAGCCCAUCAAAUGUUGUUUUGUAAAUGCCAAACUGGGGUGGUCCUGGAAGGAAAUAGGUGAAAACUGGUCUCUCUCCCCGACAGACGUGGGUCCAAUAAAAGAUCUUCCCUCCCUCACCUUGUCUCUCUUAGAA